UUCGCAAUGCCCGAAAGGGUGACGAAGCGACGCCGCGUGUGGGAAGAAGGCCUUCGGGUUGUAAACCACUGUCAGGAGUUAGGAAGUGCAGGAGCGUUAAUAGCGUUCUUGCUUGACUAAGGCUCCAGAGGAAGCCACGGCUAACUCUGUGCCAGCAGCCGCGGUAAUACAGAGGCGGCAAGCGUUGUUCGGAAUUAUUGGGCGUAAAGAGCACGUAGGCGGCCUUGCAAGUCGGUUGUGAAAGCCUUCUGUUCAAAGGAAGAACGGCAUCUGAAACUGCAGAUCUUGAGUGUAGGAGGGGAGAGUGGAACUUCUGGUGGAGCGGUGAAAUGCGUAGAUAUCAGAAGGAACGUCGGCGGCGAAAGCGACUCUCUGGCCUAUUACUGACACUGAGGUGCGAAAGUUAGGGGAGCAAACGGGAUUAGAUACCCCGGUAGUCCUAACCGUAAACGAUGGGCACUAAGUAGAGGGGUUUU
rnacentral:rRNA from 1 species